rnacentral:rRNA from 1 species
UACGAAGGGUGCAAGCGUUACUCGGAAUUACUGGGCGUAAAGCGUGCGUAGGUGGUUCGUUAAGUCUGAUGUGAAAGCCCUGGGCUCAACCUGGGAAUGGCAUUGGAUACUGGCGACCUAGAGUGCGGUAGAGGGGUGUGGAAUUCCCGGUGUAGCAGUGAAAUGCGUAGAUAUCGGGAGGAACAUCUGUGGCGAAGGCGACACCCUGGACCAGCACUGACACUGAGGCACGAAAGCUAGGGGAGCAAACGGG